rnacentral:rRNA from 1 species
UACGGGGGGGGCAAGCGUUGUUCGGAAUUACUGGGCGUAAAGGGCUCGUAGGCGGCCAACUAAGUCAGACGUGAAAUCCCUCGGCUUAACCGGGGAACUGCAUCUGAUACUGGAUGGCUUGAGUUCGGGAGAGGGAUGCGGAAUUCCAGGUGUAGCGGUGAAAUGCGUAGAUAUCUGGAGGAACACCGGUGGCGAAGGCGGCAUUCUGGACCAUUACUGACGCUGAGGAGCGAAAGCCAGGGGAGCAAACAGG